rnacentral:lncRNA from 1 species
GUGAAGGUGAAAAGACAGAAUGUGAAUGGCCACAUUCGUGCCUAAUAACUGAAAUCAAAUGGCCCAAAGUCUUGUAAAAAGAGACGAAAAUACUAAGGAAGAACGUACAUGAAUCUUAGCAUAAAGCAAUUAAAUGCUUGGGAGGUUGACGAUUAAGGACAACGUCAAUUAAUACGCAAGUAGACAAAUUAGUUGUUCAUUAAUGACGAUAACUGCUGUUACAAAAGGAAAGUUAGUACGAAGUUACAAAAGGAAAGUUAAGGCAUUAGAUGUCUUAAUUACAAUUCACCCCAGGCCGAACGAAUUAUUUCCCUAAGUCUCCCCCAAUCUUCGCUCUGCUGAGAAGAAGCGACAUUUAAUUCAGCUACAAAAUCGUCAUCAACUUCCAGCUUUUUGUACUGCUUAACCAAAGACUUAGUUCGUUCAAUUCCUUGGGAAGCAUUACACUUUUUAGCAGCCAUUCUCGCCCUACAGUCGUCCAUUUUUGCUUGAAGCUCCUUCAUCUCUACAGCCAAACUUGUCAUCAAAGAGUCUUCGAUCAUAACAUCAGAAGAGAUUUCUUUUAAUUCAUCAUCGGCUUUGUUAAUCUCUAGAAGCAAAGACUCUCUUUCAGAUGCAGCAUGAAAAUAUUGUGUACUCCUGGCCUUCUGUUCAACAUUUUUGACUAGCAAAGAGAGGAUGUCAAAGUGAACAACCUUCAACGUCGCUUUUAAGUCAGCAUAAACAUUGAGCGACGGAAGUGUAAGUGCUUGCGCCAAUUUCGCACUCAACAGCUCAAGCUUAUCCUUAUAUUUGGUAGCACUAGCCUGGUCGAUAUCCAUGUCUAUGAAAGACACGUACUCAAAUAUCGACUGCUUGAGAAACUUCAUAUUUUCCUCUGAAGAAGCAGAAGGAUGACUGGUUGAAGUAGGGCGAGACGUCUUGACUUGCCCCCAGGAAGUAAACAAGUCCUGGAUGGAACGCACAAUGUCAUCAGCAUCCUACAAAGAAAAAUGCCAACAUUGAGGACUUUCACUACAAUAAACGAAGCGAAAAUGAAAGUGAAGCAAAAGGUUACCUCAUUAGCAAUCUUAGGAAGUUCAGGCAUAUUACCAGUUGGCUCCACCACCUGCAGGGAUUUCUUCUUAUCUGGGCGAGAAGACUCUGCCACAACGGGCAGGCCCAUGGGAGCCUCUGCAUAAUUCAAGAAGCAACG